rnacentral:lncRNA from 1 species
AUGCGCGACGACGCCUAGGCCUGUGGCACGGUCGCGGCUCUAGUCCCCUGGGCCCCUCAGCUGUCUCUGGCGGGGAGGUCGGGCCGCAGGGGCGGGGAGGGGUGGCCUGCCCCAGUGGUACCUGACAGCAUCCCACGUCACGGCCGCGAUCCCCCUCGGCCUCCCACACCACUCCUCCACCCUCUUACCUCCUCGCAGGCCGGAGCCUUGUCCGCUCCGCCUCCUGGGUAGCGGUUACUGCACGGUCAGGGGCCCGGCGCCGCGAUGAGUUGGCGCCUCCCCCUGAAACGGCCCGGCCUCGGCGGGAUGCGCUCGGGUGCCCGGCCGAGACGGAAACGAAGGGAGCGCAGACAAGAGGAGGGGGCUGGCGACGGCGUCUCGCCCCUCCUCUCCUCCCUAGGCUGCCCACCGCCGCCCCUCCCCUUUCUCGCAGACGCCCCCUCCCCUCGGAGUUGACCCCCGGGAGUCUCCCAUUGGGGCCGCCUCCGCUUUUCCAGGGAGUUCCUCCGUGGGUCACCCCCACCUUCUCCAGGGUUAUGUUCUCGCAAAUUUUGGGAAUUUGUGGAUACCCGACCUAGAAGGAUAAGGCGUGUAUGAUGCUGAGAGCAACCUUUUCCACAGCCCCUCUCCUCCAGCCUGCCCCAGCUUUUCUUCUAUUGCUGGCCCCUCUAUCUGGGGGCUCCGAUCACUUCACGUUUUCACCCCAUUGCUGUGGGGCGGAAGUCUUGUAGCCCCCUGUAGUACAAAUGCUGAAAUAAUGAGGAUGUGUGCUGGGGGGUUCAGGGGGAUGACCUCAGUUACCUUGGGGCCAAGGGCUUCGAAAACAGCCACCUUCUCCCCUUAUGAUUAUAUUUUGCAGUAAUUUAUUAUAUUACACUGCACUUCUGUUGGCCUUUGUAGAUUUAAGUAAAAUGCACCACAA